CAGUAGCCGCGGGAAUACGUAGGUGGCAAGCGUUGUCCGGAAUUAUUGGGCGUAAAGGGCUCGCAGGCGGUUUCUUAAGUCUGAUGUGAAAGCCCCCGGCUCAGCCGGGGAGGGUCAUUGGAAACUGGGAAACUUGAGUGCAGAAGAGGAGAGUGGAAUUCCACGUGUAGCGGUGAAAUGCGUAGAGAUGUGGAGGAACACCAGUGGCGAAGGCGACUCUCUGGUCUGUAACUGACGCUGAGGAGCGAAAGCGUGGGGAGCGAACAGGAUUAGAUACCCCGGUAGUCCCUGUCUCUUAUAC
rnacentral:rRNA from 1 species